UAUGUUAUGAAGCUUUUCUUGUAUAAAGCUCAAUUUUUCCAUGACCACGGAAGUAAACAUCCUGAUGCAUUCUUGUCAUGUGAAUGUUGAGAGCGUGUUCAUUUUUUGAAAUCUCCUUUCUGACAGACAUAUUCCACAGGAUCAGCUGAGAUGUUAUUUCACUGGAUUAUUUAAUGGAUAGACUUAUUGGGCAUAUAUUUGGAUAUCUCUGUCAUCAACAUGGAAUGUAUGACUUCAUCUUUUAUACAGUCGGGUUCGGGGUUUCGGGCGGCCAUGACGAAUUUCGGCAAGAUUUUACCCCAGUGAAAAAGGCUUGUAAUCCACAGUUCCUCAACCUGGAAGAUAUGUUUUGUUCCUAACCAUCUAUAAUCCAUUCUCUAUGAAGUGAAGCCUGGCUGCUCUUCCUUUGGAAAUACACAGUUAGUCAAUCAACAUAGAAACACACAAACUUGAAGGAUAUUCUAGUGAGGGCUUGUGGAAAUGAUCUAUGUCUACUCUCAGAAUGGUGAAAGACUAUCAGAUUAUGCAAAGACUAACAGGAUAUCCUCUCUUGGAACACUGAAAUAAGAAAAUCAAACAGGAGGUGGAUGGAGGAUUUAAGAAGCACAGGUGAAAGACUAUCAGAUUAUGCAAAGACUAACAGAAUAUCCUCUCUUAAAACACUGAAACAAGAAAAUCAAACAGGAUGGAGGAUUUAAGAAG